rnacentral:rRNA from 1 species
CGGCGGACGGGUGAGUAACACGUGGAUAACCUACCUAUAAGACUGGGAUAACUUCGGGAAACCGGAGCUAAUACCGGAUAAUAUAUUUAACCGCAUGGUUCAAUAGUGAAAGACGGUUUUGCUGUCACUUAUAGAUGGAUCCGCGCCGCAUUAGCUAGUUGGUAAGGUAACGGCUUACCAAGGCAACGAUGCGUAGCCGACCUGAGAGGGUGAUCGGCCACACUGGAACUGAGACACGGUCCAGACUCCUACGGGAGGCAGCAGCC